CAUUUGUAGUUAAUUUUACUGCAUAAAAUAGGGAGGACUGCAGACUGAGAAAAAAGAGAAAAAUAUUUUAAAAUGUCUUCUUCAGAGAUGCUCAUUUUCCUUGAAUAAAAGGGCUCUAAGACUAAAAGAUAAAUAUCAAUGUUAUUAUUAUUUUUAAAAAUCAGCCCAGUCUUUCAUUGCAGAUGUAAAUUCAUUUUAAUGAGAAGGAUGGCAAGCUUUAAUUUGGCCGGAGAAAGUUGGAAAAACGUUUGUUUUACUCUGAAAGAAAAGAAGCAAAAGAAAAGAAAACCCACCCAGGAAUAUGAUUUUCUUGCAGAAAGUGGCCUGAUUGCUGUAAUUCUCUACAGAUUAAAUCACAAUAUGAAUACAGACCCCAGCAAAUGGCGAGUUUAACUCUGAACUCAGUAGAAACCAGUUCUGUCCACCAGGAUUCAUUGAAUUCUUCCUUUCCCUCAAUCUAGUCCGUGUGUGUUUUUCUCUUCCACCACACUGGAGCUCCAUGAAUAGGCAAAGGGGCUUCCAUUGUGUCCCUCUGAACUUCCAAGUCAAUGCAAUUUUUAACCACUGGCUUGUGGUACUUUGAAAAUCACCAGGGGCUGUCAGAGUUGGGUCCUCUGAAAAAUUUACAGUGCUAAAUCAGAGCAUAUGCUGGGAGGGAAAAAAUUGCUUAAGAUUGGAGCAAGUACAGUAUCUGUCUGCCCCCUAGUGUAAGAGUCCUCGCUGCCUAAAUUCAACUUUAAAAGAAAAGGAGCUCUUAAAGGGGAACGACUUUGGGUUCACGUAGGCAUUGGAGAUGGAAACUUCUGUACAUUUUAAUCUGAAUAAUUCUCCAGGAUUUAAAAUUAAUUGGCUCUGGCUUGGUCGGACCGGACUCGGAUCUCGCCACCUCUGCAUUUCUCGAGUCACUGGCAGAGAGGUGAUGAUUUUUCUUUCUUUCUUUCUCUCUCUCUCUCUCUCUUUUUUCCCCCUGAACUGGGUUUAUGUGCAUCCCCCUCACCCCCUCCUCUCUUUUUCUUUCUCUGUCUCUGUCGUCUCUCUCGCUGGCUUUUAAAAAAUGAGGCACCGUUCCUUGAACGUUCUGGACAGAGCGCAGAAUUGCUUCAUAAGUCAGCCCGACGCGGUUGCAAUAGACAGCAAAAAGGUAAACGUUUGCCUGAAAUCGCACGCCAGCUGCACCACCCCGCCCGAUGAGAAGAAUAAUGGGGAAACACGGAUCUUUUAUUUUAGGAAACUGUUAUGGUCUGAUCAAUGACUGCCUUCCCCAGCCUGGGCGCCUGUCGGACAACCUGGCAUUCGGGUUCCUAAUGGAGGACAACUCACCCGCAACCCAGCGACGCAGCCUGACAACUAAAGUCCUCUCCUUCAGAGUGGCUAGAGUAGUGCACUGCAGAAGAAGAGAUGAAAAAAGUUGAGGGUGGAGGUGGUUAUUGGGGAAGGUGGUUCAGGCAGCGGAACCACAACUGAUUUCUCCGGGUUUGGGAGUGAGAAGCAUUGUUUUGGUUUCUUUUAAGUUUGCCCUGAAUUGUAGCUUCGCGCUCUGUUGUGUGGCAGCCACUCGGAUCUUGAGGGUCAAAGGUGAGGGCUGCACUAACCCUAAAAGUCUGCUUUGGCCUGGUGAGAAGGCCGAGCGAGUGGAAGAGUGGGUUGUCAGCCCUACUGCCUGACGCUUCGGAGGGGGUGCUUGUGAAACACGCUUGCGGGGGGCACAGAACCGAGAACAGGUUUUAAGGGCAACACUGAGGAAAUUUUAAAAGUGCGGUAGGCUUGUGGAACUGGACUCUUUUUCCUUGAGAAUUCCCAAGGCGCUGGUCUUUGUUUUAGAAGGAAUGGAGUUUCUGAAUGGUGUGAAAGGGACAGAGAGGGUCGCUUCAAAUCGAUUUUACUUGUCCUUUCUGUCUUUUCGGAUCAACGCCCUUCAAUGGGCACAGAGGUGCUCUUUCAACCAAAAACUUGUGCUACAUUUUCUGCCUGUAUUGGUGCUAAAUACAAUAAGCACUGGGCAGAUUUUUUUCUUUGCACUCCAAAGCAAGAAAGCACCCUAAUUAAAUUGUUUUAUGUGGACAGUCAAGAUGGACCAAUUAAGUAUGCAUUAGUAUAAAGAUAUAGUCUGUGGAUAGGGCGGUUUAGAGAAUCACGUGAAGGACAAAGGAGAGGGCGCUAGCGUUGGGGAGGGUCCGUGGGCACAGCGAGGUCGCUCACCUUCCUGCCUGGGCCCGGGAGAAUUGCAGAGGCCCGGGCCCCAGGUGAGAGGGGAGCAGGCCGGCUAACAGGUGGGCGACAGUGUUGGACUCUUCUCCAUUAUCGUCCCGGGGUGGAAGGGGGCGGUCAAGCCCAGGGGCUUAGUAGCCCUCAAACCUCCUGCUCGCGCUCCGUAGCCAUCCGAGGUGGUGGGUCCCGUAGGAGCGGGCGAGGGCCGGCUACGCCUCACUUCGGGUCGGGUCCACUGCGCAGUGUCUAGGUCCAGGGCACGGCCCUGCAAUAAGGCAAGAGUGUGCGCCCGCGGGGAGGCCGGGAGCCCCGGGGUCGCCAACACUCUUACUGCCUCGGCCACAGACCUCUGGAGGCCACGAUCAGGGUAGAAGGCUCUCUUCCAACACCUCUGCUAAGCGCUUUUUCACUUCUGAGGAAAGAGAGCGUCUCUGCGAGGAAAGUAAAGUUCCCACCCGACGCCAUACAGCCCGAGGGGCGUCGAGGACCGACCGUACAAAUGGGGAAAUGACAGAAGGGAAUCUUCAACUGUACUGAGUAGUUACCAGAAAUCCUACUGAGUUUUGGAAUAUAAAAAUCCCUCGGACCCUGAGGCCAUGUGUCAUAGCAGAAUAGAGCCUGCUUUGGAAAUAAGGAGACCUGGAUUUGAAUUCUAGCUUUACCAGUUACGGGGUACCCCUGAAGCAAUUACCUGCUGGGAGACGAGGGAGGAGCCGCUUUGUGGGAGCAGGGGCCACGGCUUCACUUCCUGUUAUAUCCUAGAGGCCUCUGAUGUCUGGCUAACUCGGUGGUCAGUGAAUCCUGGUCAACAGAAAUUCUUCUUCACAGCACAAGGCCCUCCCUCUGCUCACGCACAUUUUGCCUCCGUGUUCCUCAUCCCUCCCCUCCCCUGGGCAUGUCGGAUCAUAGCAUCGCAUCAGCCUGCAUCGAAUCGAUUUAGGACACGGAGCAUUUCCUCAAAAAUUAAAUUCCCCUCGAAAACUUGACAGGACCAGCAGCGACCUCAGAAAAGCGUUAUGGGAAAAGUGCCAGCAGUGGAGCUAAAAUAAAGGCAGGAUCCUUUCUAUCAGGGAGAAAGGGAAAAGGGUCAGAGAGAGAGAGAAACAAAAGGAAAAAGCAGGGCAGGAGGAGAGACACGAAGGCGAGAAGGGACCUAAAUUAGAACAAGAGGCGAUGUUUAUUAAUAACCUUGCUGACCCACAGGCCCCAGACACAAAAUACAUUAAGUAUUGUCGGGACACUCUGCUCUGUCACUCACAGGAGGAGCAAAUAAAAUGGUGUUGGGAAGCUGCAAACUUCCUGAGAACAGAUAAAGAAGAACAGCAACGAAAAAGCCAGCAUAAGGUGAAGGGGUAGCCUCACAGGCUGUGCAGCCCGCGUUCCUCUUGGGUCGCUUGCAGCAUCCUCUCCAGUCGACCUUACACAUCCACCCUUCCGGCAAAGUAGGAUUUAACACACACAAGGAAACCUUUUUUCUUGAUUGCAGAAAUGAUAUAUGUCUAUUGCAGAAUAUUUGGAAAUUAUGGAAAAUCCCAAAGAAGUAAAUAAAAAUUGCUUCUAGUCCCACUGCUUGAGUAUAGUCAUUGUCAACACUUUGAUAGACAUUUUCUAAUCUUUUGCCUGUACUUUUUUACAUGCACAUAUUUGCAUGUUGGAAAAGUAAGAUUGAGAGACCCUGCUGUAAUCCACUGUUGUGGAAUCUGGUUUUCCCCUCUGACAAGUCAUAAUAAAUAUUUGCUUAUAUUGUUGCAACUAUUGUGAAACAUAAUUUUUUUGUGUUGGCAUCAUGUGUCCUUAUUUGCAGGUGUCAUAACUCAUUUGACCUCCAUUUAGAUUUCCUUGUUGUCUGUCACUUUUUGCCUUCAUAACAAUCCAGGUGUGCAUCUCCAGUUCCUCUGGAAAUUACUUGAAUGAGACUACAGAAUUCACAAGCCAUCUUCAACUCUUCCCAAACUAAGGGCUCUUCAGGACUUGUUUCAAGAGAAAGAGGGGGUCAUCAGGACACUGGUAUGGAAAGGAAUGUCCUUGGUCCACAAUUUGGGGGAUUUCUUUCUUUAGUUGUUCAAACAUUGAUAAAGUUUCUUUAGAGCCUUGUCUACACCUGCAUAACUAAGAAUUGUAAAGGUGAAGAAAAUGCGUGACAUGGAUCGCCAAGAAUCAAAGACUGUGCCUGAAAGUGUGACAAAGAGAAAAGCUUCAAAAUAUUGUGCAGCAAGCAGACAGAAAUACCACGUUAAAAGGUCAUUGGUCCAUCUUCUCCAGGAACUUCCCCAGGGCAGUGGUCUCUGUCUAUGUUACAGAAGAUGGCAGAACUAUGAGCCAUUGUGCAUCUGGCCAACUGUACAAUGCUCUAGCACAAGGGGAAAUUCCUUCCUCACCCCAGCUGUUGAACAGUUAUGCCCCGCAGCCCAGGACGGACAUGCCUUGUAACUUUUUAACUUAGUUAGUGUAACUGCCAAUAUUAUUCCUAUUCAUAUAAAUGUCUAAUCCUUUUUUGAAUCUUGCUGGACUAUUUGCCUCAAUAAUAUCCUGCGGCAGUGAAUUCCACAGGUAGAUUAUACGCUACUUUAAGAAGUAUUUCCUUUUAUUCAUUUUAAAUUUGUUACCUUUUAAUGUCACAACAUGGCCCUUGUUCUUGCAUUAAGGGGCACAGGGCACUAGCAUUUCAAAAUGAGAUUUAAUUCUUCCAAGCAUUUUCUUUGCCAUUAUUAAAAGCCCCAUUUUCUUCACAUUUUUUCUGUUUUGGCAUAUAUGAUCUUAAUUAAAUGAGAUGAUUGAUAUAAACAGAUUCAUACUACUUUGGGCUCACAGAAGGCACUGGAAAAAAGCUCUCCUUAAUAUUUAAUGUCAUUUAUUGGACAAAUGUUUGUUGAGCACCUACUGUGUACAGGAAUUGUUCUGAGGAUUGGAGAAACAGCUUUGUGUAAGACAGGAUCUUGUUCUGAAUGACCUACUUUUCUUGAGAGAAAAAGUAAAAUAAUGAAUAAAAGAUAUGAACUGCGUGGUUUUAGGUGGUCUUAAGUAACAUGGGAAACUGCAAAAGAAUGACAGGGGCUUGAUCAAGGAGUAGCUCUCUGACAAGGGACAACUGAGAUCAGCCAUCAAGGCAUCAUCUAUGUGAAAUCUCCAUGAAAGUGAGCUCCCGCUUCUAGAACAAUGCCUGGCAUUAGUUGAGACUCAACCAUUAUUUGUUGAGUGAAUGAAUGAAUCAACAGUGAGCAGGGAAAUCUUACUUAACAGAAAUCACCCAGUAAGUGACUCAUAGACCCAGGACUAACAUUACCUGAAUCCCUAGCUUCUAUAAAUCUGAAAACUGCAGUAGAAAUACCAGGGGAUUCAGUUAGACUCGGGUUUCAAGAUCUGCCCAUGUCACCAGUGAACCUUGGGAAAGUCACCAAAUCUCUCAUCCAAAGUGCUGUCAUUCCUAAAAAUGGGAGUAAAGUUCCCUUCCUUCGCUGGGUUUGGAGGAUUGGAGGUCAUGUUGUGCAGCAGUUCAUAAACUGCUGAAUGACGUAGAAAUGUUGGGGCCAUUUGCACAGCACAGAGUCACAGGGCAGUGGCUCCUGGUGCACCCAGUGCCCAGCAUCCCCGUCUGAUACGGCUUAUUGACGUCUUCAUGGUGCGGCUGUAGCUUCACACCCAAGGACCUUCAGGUGGGCUUCACUGUUCUGCGCCUAACCAUUCUCUGGACUGCUGCAUAUAAUCCAGUAAGUGCUGGUGAAAAGAGCCUGUCUGAGGAGGAAGCUGAUGAUGAGAAAAGCCGAGAAGAGCAGGAGCAGAAUCGUGACAUGGCCGAGACCCCAUGACCUGAGUGUCUGCGUCCAGGCAUGCUGGAAACCAGAACUUUCUAGAACUUUUGCUUAUGUGAACAAAUCCAUGUCUCUUUUGGUUUAGCUGGUUUGAGUCAACUUUUUGUCAUUUGCAAGUCAGAGAUUUCUGAAUAAUGUGCGAAGCAUGUUAGGCAAAUACCGACACACUGGGGGAGCUUGUACUCAUUUAUCAAACAUUGAAUAUAUGCUUACUUUAUACCAGAAAGGGCCUUUGCAUAGCAAAACCACAGGACUCAUUCGAAUCAUUUUCUAAUAAAAAGAACAAAUCUAUGUGUUCAAAGAUACCUGACAUAUCCUUGGGUUUCUGAAUAAGUUUGUGUGUGUGUGUGUGUGUGUGUGUGUGUGUGUGUGUGUGUGUGUGUGUAUGU